GGAUCACCUCCUUUCUAAGGAGCACCACGAAAAGCACCCCAACUGGUGGGGUGCAAGCCGUGAGGGAUCCGCGCCUGUAGUGGGUGCGGGUCGGGUGCGCAACAACAAGCAAAGCCAGACACACUAUUGGGUCCUGAGGCAACACUCGGGUUUGUCGAGUGGUGUCCUCCCCAUCUUGGUGGUGGGGUGUGGUGUUUGAGAACUGGAUAGUGGUUGCGAGCAUCUAAAUGGAUGCGCUGCCCUCCGAAUGGAGUGCGGCGUGUUCGUUUUGUGUAAUUUUUCUUUGGUUUUUGUGUUUGU
rnacentral:misc_RNA from 1 species